rnacentral:rRNA from 1 species
UACGUAGGGGGCAAGCGUUGUCCGGAAUCAUUGGGCGUAAAGCGCGCGUAGGCGGCCCGGUAAGUCCGUUGUGAAAGUCAAAGGCUCAACCUUUGAAUGCCGACGGAUACUGCCGGGCUAGAGUACGGAAGAGGCGAGUGGAAUUCCUGGUGUAGCGGUGGAAUGCGCAGAUAUCAGGAGGAACACCUAUAGCGAAGGCAGCUCGCUGGGACGUUACUGACGCUGAGGCACGAAAGCGUGGGGAGCAAACAGG